UGCAGUAGGUAGAGUCUGGUUCCUCACAAAAGCUAAGCAGGCCAGAGCCUGGUCAGUACACUGGUGGGAGACCAUUUGUGAAAACGUAGCUUGCUGCUGCAG
rnacentral:rRNA from 1 species